UACGAACUGUGCGAACGUUAUUCGGAAUCACUGGGCUUACAGGGUGCGUAGGCGGCUCAACAAGUCAGGUGUGAAAGCCCCCGGCUCAACCGGGGAACUGCGCUUGAAACUGUUAGGCUCGAGUCAGCUAGAGGUACACGGAACUUCCAGUGGAGCGGUGAAAUGUGUUGAUAUUGGAAGGAACACCAGUGGCGAAGGCGGUGCUCUGGGCCGGAACUGACGCUGAGGAGCGAAAGCGUGGGGAGCAAACAGG
rnacentral:rRNA from 1 species